UUUAUUUAUAUUCUUUGCGUAGCUUUUUAAAUUAAUUUAAAUUAAUAUUGACUUGCUAUGCUACCAUAAAAAAAUAACUUAUAAUGGUGACACAAAAUCGGAGGCCACGACUGUUUACUAAAAACACAACACAGUGCAAUCAUUAAUAUGAUAGUAUACUGUGUGAAAUUUGCCCGAUGCCAUUAAUAUAAGAGCGAUCAUGGUUUUCUGUGAUUAAUCGAAAAUCUGGUUAAUAGCGGUCUUAACUAUGAGGAUCCUAAGGUAGCAAAAUAAAUUGGCCUUUAAAUGAGGUCCGGUAUCAAUAAUGUAACGAUGGUCUCACUGUCUCUACAACUUGCUCAGUGAAAUUGAAUUACGCGUGCAGAUGCGCGUUGCCUUCAGGGGGACGGGAAGACCCUAUGCAG
rnacentral:rRNA from 1 species